rnacentral:rRNA from 1 species
ACCUGCGGAAGGAUCGUUACCGAGUUCUCGGGCUUCGGCUCGACUCUCCCACCCUUUGUGAACGUACCUCUGUUGCUUUGGCGGCUCCGGCCGCCAAAGGACCUUCAAACUCCAGUCAGUAAACGCAGACGUCUGAUAAACAAGUUAAUAAACUAAAACUUUCAACAACGGAUCUCUUGGUUCUGGCAUCGAUGAAGAACGCAGCGAAAUGCGAUAAGUAAUGUGAAUUGCAGAAUUCAGUGAAUCAUCGAAUCUUUGAACGCACAUUGCGCCCCUUGGUAUUCCGGGGGGCAUGCCUGUUCGAGCGUCAUUACAACCCUCAAGCUCUGCUUGGAAUUGGGCACCGUCCUCAUUGCGGACGCGCCUCAAAGACCUCGGCGGUGGCUGUUCAGCCCUCAAGCGUAGUAGAAUACACCUCGCUUUGGAGCGGUUGGCGUCGCCCGCCGGACGAACCUUCUGAACUUUUCUCAAGGUUGACCUCGGAUCAGGUAGGGAUACCCGCUGAACUUAAGCAUAUCAAUA